rnacentral:tRNA from 1 species
GCCCGAGUGGUGAAAUUGGUAGACACGACGGAUUCAAAAUCCGUUUCCUUCGGGAGUGGCGGUUCAAGUCCGCCCUCGGGCA